UACCUGCAGCCCAAGUGGUGGUCGAUUUUAUUGAGUCUAAAACGUUCGUAGCCGGUUUGGUAAAUCUUUGGGUAAAUCGGGAGGCUCAACUUUCCGACUUCCGAAGAGACUGUCAAACUUGGGACCGGGAGAGGCUAGAGGUACUUCUGGGGUAGGGGUAAAAUCCUGUAAUCCUAGAAGGACCACCGGUGGCGAAGGCGUCUAGCUAGAACGGAUCCGACGGUGAGGGACGAAGCCCUGGGUCGCAAACGGGAUUAGAUACCCCGGUAGUCCAGGGUGUAAACGCUGCAGACUUGGUGUUGGAGGCCCUUCGGGGGCACUCAGUGCCGGAGAGAAGUUGUUAAUUCUGCUACUUGGGGAGUACGUCCGCAAGGAUGAAACUUAA
rnacentral:rRNA from 1 species